rnacentral:tRNA from 1 species
AAAAAAGCCGGAAUAGCUCG